rnacentral:miRNA from 1 species
CAGCAGACACAUUCCAGCCAAUCAGCAGCAGACUCUCCCUUCCAGGCCUUCCCACCUCACUAAGAAUGCAGCUUCACAAUGAAUGUAAAAUGGAUGCUGUCCAGGAGGUGGGAGGGUCUGGGAGGGAGGGUCUGCUGCUGAUUGGCUGGAAUGUGUCUGCU